rnacentral:rRNA from 1 species
GACGAACGCUGGCGGCGCGCUUAACACAUGCAAGUCGAACGGAAAGGCCUGCUUUCCCUUGUGGAUUGCGGGUACUCGAGUGGCGAACGGGUGAGUAACACGUGAGUGGUCUGCCCCCAACUUGGGUAUAAGCCUGGGAAACUGGGUCUAAUUCCCGAUAGGACUGCAGGGUGGUGCCUGUGGUGGAAAACGAUUUUCUAGUGGUUGGGGAUGAGCUCGCGGCCUAUCAGCUUGUUGGUGGGGUAAUGGCCUACCAAGGCGGCGACGGGUAGCCGGCCUGAGAGGGUGGACGGCCACAUUGGGACUGAGAUACGGCCCAGACUCCUACGGGAGGCAGCAGUGGGGAAUAUUGCACAAUGGGCGGAAGCCUGAUGCAGCGACGCCGCGUGGGGGAUGACGGCCUUCGGGUUGUAAACUCCUUUCGACCGCGAGGAAGCCACCUGGUUGGAAGGGUGGUGACGGUAGUGGUAGAAGAAGCACCGGCUAACUACGUG